rnacentral:siRNA from 1 species
UGGCGAGCUGAGCUGAUGGGAGCA